rnacentral:rRNA from 1 species
CAUGCAAGUCNCGGGGUAACAUCUGGUAGAGCUUGGCUCUUCCAGGAUGACGACCGGCGCACGGGUGAGUAACGCGUAUCCAACCUGGCCCAUACCACGGGAUAGCCCGUCGAAAAGGCCGGAUUAAUACCGUAUGCUGUCAUUAAGAUGCAUAUAUUGAUGACGAAAGGACUGGCGGUAUGGGAUGGGCAUGCGGCGCAUUAGGCAGACGGCGGGGUAACGGCCCACCGUACCGACGAUGCGUAGGGGUUCUGAGAGGAAGGUCCCCCACAUUGGAACUGAGACACGGUCCAAACUCCUACGGGAGGCAGCAGUGAGGAAUAUUGGUCAAUGGGCGAGAGCCUGAACCAGCCAAGUAGCGUGCAGGAUGACGGCCCUAUGGGUUGUAAACUGCUUUUAUAAGGGAAUAAAGUGGAGGUCGUGACCUCUUUUGCAUGUACCUUAUGAAUAAGGACCGGCUAAUUCCGUG